ACAAACAACAGCAUUCGACAUGGCUCAUAUAGAUUCUCUAAGCAUGUUCAUAAGGUUUUAAACUGCAGCAAGGUAUAUGACAUCAACAGCAACACAAAAAUUCGACCAGCCUAGCAUUUCAUCAUGUAGGCAUCAAGUAAACAGCAUGGUAAAACACAGUUCUUCAUGACAUAACAACCAAACAACAUGAGUAUGAAGAUUUCAUGGGCAAGGCUAGGUUCAUGUGACAGCAGCAACAACAUUCCUCAUCAUCAUCAUUCAACCAAACAAAA
rnacentral:lncRNA from 1 species